rnacentral:rRNA from 1 species
AGCGGCCGGUCUAAGUUCCUUGGAACAGGACGUCAUAGAGGGUGAGAAUCCCGUAUGCGACCGGCUGGCACCCCACACGUAGCUCCUUCGACGAGUCGAGUUGUUUGGGAAUGCAGCUCUAAAUGGGAGGUAAAUUUCUUCUAAAGCUAAAUACCGGCCAGAGACCGAUAGCGCACAAGUAGAGUGAUCGAAAGAUGAAAAGCACUUUGGAAAGAGAGUUAAAAAGCACGUGAAAUUGUUAAAAGGGAAGCGCUUGCAACCAGACUUGUCGACGGUGUUCCGCCGGUCUUCUGACCGGUCCACUCGUCGUCGGCAGGCCAGCAUCGUCUGGGGCCGCCGGAUAAAGGCUUGGGGAAUGUGGCUCCUCCGGGAGUGUUAUAGCCCCUCGCACAAUACGGCGCGCCUCGGGCGAGGUCCGCACUUCGGUAAGGAUGCUGGCGUAAUGGUCGUAAGCGGCCCGUCUUGAAACACGGACCAAGGAGUCGAUCAAUCGUGCGAGUGUUCGGGUGAAAAACCCUUGCGCGCAAUGAAAGUGAACGGAGGCGAGAACUUCGGUGCAUCGUCGACCGAUCCAGAUGUCUUCGGAUGGAUUUGAGUAAGAGCAUGGCUGAUCGGACCCGAAAGAUGGUGAACUAUGCCUGAAUAGGGUGAAGCCCGCUUUAACUGGGGUG